GACCAGACUCCUACGGGAGGCAGCAGUGGGGGAUAUUGCACAAUGGGGGAAACCCUGAUGCAGCGACGCCGCGUGUGGGAAGACGGUCCUCUGGAUUGUAAACCACUGUCCCCAGGGACGAAAAUGACGGUACCUGGGGAGGAAGCUCCGGCUAACUACGUGCCAGCAGCCGCGGUAAUACGUAUGGUGCAAGCGUUAUCCGGAUUUACUGGGUGUAAAGGGAGCGCAGGCGGCACGGCAAGCCUGAUGUGAAAGCCCGCGGCCCAACCGCGGGACUGCAUUGGGAACUACCGGGCUGGAGUGCCGGAGAGGUAGGCGGAAUUCCUAGUGUAGCGGUGAAAUGCGUAGAUAUUAGGAGGAACACCAGUGGCGAAGGCGGCCUGCUGGACGACAACUGACGGUGAGGCGCGAAAGCGUGGGGAGCAAACAGGAUUAGAUACCCUUGUAC
rnacentral:rRNA from 1 species